CGCUGGAUCAAGAUAGGUAAACGUGCCUUGUUCAGUUAAGCUACUAUCCACGAGAUAACAGCCAUAUUGAGUGUUCAUGUCAGCCGCCACCAACCGAGUAGAAAUUAUCAAAAGGUAAACAAAAAAUAGUAACCUCCCCUUAAAGGGAGAGGAAUUUAAAAAGACCAUGGAAAUUAAAUCGUGCGUAAGUAUAAUAGGAAUGAAAAUUAAAACUUAAAUUUGGUAAUAAAAAUUUUGCCCUCAGUAAAUUAAGUUGUUUUGUCUAUAGACUAAAGAGAAAACAAAUUAUUGGACCAGUUAAGAGAAAUAUUAUCAAAAGGC